CAGAACUGACAGUACAACCUAAUGUCUUAAAUCAGAGGUUCCCAGACUUUUUUUCUCAUAGACCACUUUCAAAAUUUAGCUGUUUCCGGUGGACCCCCUGCAGGUACACUUCUACCAUAUUCCCAAAACUCGACAAAAAAUUGAAGAUUAGAUCUAAGUAUAGUUUGCAUUACGGCUGAGUUCCAAC